rnacentral:rRNA from 1 species
AGCGAACGCUGGCGGCGUGCUUAACACAUGCAAGUCGAGUGCGUAGCCCUUUGUAGCAAUACAGAGGGUGGGCGCACGGCGCACGGGUGAGUAACACGUGGGUAACCUGCCCUUCGGUGGGGAAUAACCCGCGAAGACGGGCGUAAUUCCGCAUAACAUUCCGGGGACGACAUGUUCUCGGACUCAAAGGAGUGAUUCGCCGGAGGAGGGGCCCGGCGCCCGAUUAGCUUGUUGGUAGGGUAACGGCCACCAAGGC